rnacentral:ribozyme from 12 species
UUUUUGUAUUUGGAUCAAUUAUGUAUGGCUGCGGAACAGAAAAAACAUGAUAUAAAAAAUAGUAACAUUCAUUGUUACGUCAUC